GCUGGUCCAGGACUUUGGCAUUGGAGAGACCUGAGUUCAAAUCCCAGCUCCACUAGUGUAUAGGUUGAAGAGAGACCCUGCAAACAAGCCCGAGGAAUGUUUAGAGUGAUAAUAGCGAAGAUCUACUGACCACUUAAUAUUGUGCCAAGUACUCUGUUGACCAAGAGGGAGCACGAUGAAAGUAAAAAGCAUUAAUCAAAAUAACCCAAAGAAUAAUUUUAAUGAUGCCUAAUGGAGGGAUUCAGCUGUUGCCAUCAAGUGUAAAGGU